AUCAACUUUCCUACUCCCGUCACCAUCACUUUUCCUUUUCGUGCUUGCUUCCGCCCCUCUCCCUGCAGCCGGCGUUGCCCUGCGUCCACAUCCGCCCCAGCCCCCUUUAUCCUAGACUUUGAGGAGGUCGCUCCCUAAGGUGGUUUCGAGAAUCCGCGGAGAAGCGAUCAUCCCAUCUGUGAGACAAAAAUCCUGGGGCCAGCAGUUCCCGUUGGGAGUUUUCUGUUCAUCUAAACCUAAUGAUAAUAGGAAUUGCUACCUAUCAUUCUCUGAGAGACAAGUCCAUGACCAUCACAGGACCCUAAAGUGUUACAACCCUUAUUGCAUUAACUCUCAUGGAUAUGAGUGCAAUGAGCAGAAUAGAAACAAACUGUGAACACAGUAAUAAAAGAAAUCCCAUCGAUUGGGACAAGAUGGAGUUCCUACAGGUCCCAAAGCACAGGCUACAGCAGGUGCUUUGGAAGAGUUUGGCUUGAAGCAGAGAAACCAGGAAGAAGAAUCCAAUGUCCAGAUAAGAGAAAAUAAGAUCCUAAAUUAAGGCCAUGAUAAUAGGGAUAAAGAAGAUACCAUACUAGAAACAUAUGUAGGAUAUGGAAGUUACAGGAUUUAAUGACCAAUUCAAUGGAGAGAAUGAAGAAGUCACAAAGGAUAAAUCACCUGUUUCUGACUUGGGAAACAAAGUAGAGAGUGAUCCUUAACCAAGAUAGGUUAUCCAUGAAGAAGAGCAAGAAAUGAAUUUGUAUGAAGCAAAUCUAUAAAGGAGAGCAGUAGAGGUGAAAAUAUCAUGGAAAAGGCAAGCAGUUUGACUAGUAAACUCAGCGAGUUGAGACAAGUGUGAAAACUUAUUACAACCUGAAUUUCUCACACAUCUCAGUUUCUCCUCCCUUUUAAGUUUCCUAAUAUAAAAAGUUGAAUUCACAUUAUUGGCACCCUCACUACUUGCACUCACUUCCAUCAAAAGAAUAAAUAAAUUAGAGAUACCU